AGAGUUUGAUCCUGGCUCAGAGUGAACGCUGGCGGUAGGCCUAACACAUGCAAGUCGAACGGCAGCACAGAGGAGCUUGCUCCUUGGGUGGCGAGUGGCGGACGGGUGAGGAAUACAUCGGAAUCUACUCUGUCGUGGGGGAUAACGUAGGGAAACUUACGCUAAUACCGCAUACGACCUACGGGUGAAAGCAGGGGAUCUUCGGACCUUGCGCGAUUGAAUGAGCCGAUGUCGGAUUAGCUAGUUGGCGGGGUAAAGGCCCACCAAGGCGACGAUCCGUAGCUGGUCUGAGAGGAUGAUCAGCCACACUGGAACUGAGACACGGUCCAGACUCCUACGGGAGGCAGCAGUGGGGAAUAUUGGACAAUGGGCGCAAGCCUGAUCCAGCCAUACCGCGUGGGUGAAGAAGGC
rnacentral:rRNA from 1 species